AGAGUUUGAUCCUGGCUCAGGAUGAACGCUAGCUACAGGCUUAACACAUGCAAGUCGAGGGGAAACGACAUCGAAAGCUUGCUUUUGAUGGGCGUCGACCGGCGCACGGGUGAGUAACGCGUAUCCAACCUGCCCACCACUUGGGGAUAACCUUGCGAAAGUAAGACUAAUACCCGAUGAUAUCUCUAGACGACAUCUGAAAGGGAUUAAAGAUUUAUCGGUGAUGGAUGGGGAUGCGUCUGAUUAGCUUGUUGGCGGGGUAACGGCCCACCAAGGCGACGAUCAGUAGGGGUUCUGAGAGGAAGGUCCCCCACAUUGGAACUGAGACACGGUCCAAACUCCUACGGGAGGCAGCAGUGAGGAAUAUUGGUCAAUGGGCGAGAGCCUGAACCAGCCAAGUAGCGUGCAGGACGACGGCCCUAUGGGUUGUAAACUGCUUUUAUAAGGGAAUAAAGUGAGUCUCGUGAGACUUUUUGCAUGUACCUUAUGAAUAAGGACCGGCUAAUUCCGUGCCAGCAGCCGCGGUAAUACGGAAGGUCCGGGCGUUAUCCGGAUUUAUUGGGUUUAAAGGGAGCGUAGGCCGGAGAUUAAGCGUGUUGUGAAAUGUAGACGCUCAACGUCUGCACUGCAGCGCG
rnacentral:rRNA from 1 species